GGGUAAUAAGCUAUCAUCUGGUAUCUAGAAUCUAGGUCUAUGUUCUAUAGCAGCAAUAGGUAUUUGUUUGAAAAAUCAGGCGGGUAGAAGCCUGGAUGUUCAUGAAUUUAAGGAAAAUUAAUUUUUUUACAAAAACAAAAGUCUUUAAAAGAAUUUUAGACUGAAAAUUGAUAAAUUGCAUUAAAAACUACCAAGAAAACUGUAAAAUAUUGUAAAAAAUGCAAAAAAUAAUAGAUAACAGACAAGGUGUGGUAUGUUGGUGAUUUUUGGUUAGGGGGUUUGUGGGUGAGAAAUUAAAUAGGUGAUUUGAGUUUAAAAUACUUCUUACUGCCACUGUAUAAUAAUGUAAAAUUUACAUAAUUACAAUGUAUUUGGUCCAUAAUGUAAGAAAUAUCAAUUUUAACUGUAGGUCCUAUCUACAGUCGAAUCUAGCACACACAGUAGUUUAAAAAGCUGUCCUAAGAUAAUGGAGACAGGUGCAACUACUGUUGUAGGUGGGAAGUUGGAAAGGUAGGAUAUAGACAGGGAUUUAAUGUAUAUCUGUAAGCAACGAUAAACCAUUGCAAACGAAAAAAACAAUUCUGAGCGGAGUUCAGAUAAUAGUGAUGAUUUGUCAACAAUAUACUAUAUAUGCCAUAUUAUGGUAAAAUAAUUAUAUAAUAUGUAAUGCAUAUUAUCCAUUUAUUGGAAAAAAUCUUGGCAAUAUCAAAAAGUGACCUUGAAGUACCUCCCCAGUUUGAUUUACUUUUAGAAAAAGUACUAUCAUUGUAAAUUAAAGCAAAAUUGCUGGUAGAAAAAUUGUACAUUAAAAAAAAAAAGGCCACAAAUUUUUACUUAAUUUUUACCUACAUUUCGUACAUUUUCGGUUUUUCCGACAUUUUAUCCCGGUUUUUCGCGGAUAUUAUGAAAACCGCUUUAAAAAUCAAAAAAUGACUUCCCUAUAGUACCAUACAGAUAAAAUUUCCUUUCACAAAAUAAGGUACACAUACACUUAAUACACCAGAGCAUGAUUUCUGGUAGAAAAGUUUACACAGCAAAUUAAGGACUAUUUUACGAUUAAAAUAGUCCGAGCGAGUGAUGGUUUGAGUCUCUAGGUACACCUAAAAGGCAUUUGUUUUUUCCGUGUUUAGGUAAAGGGGAGAAAACAAAUUCAAAUAAUAUUUUUCGAAACUCGGAUUUGAACUCAUGAUUCCUAGGAUGGCAAUAGGUAAGAAAAACCAUUAGGUUACGACAAACAUUCUUCAAAAAGACAAUCCAGUGUUAUUUAACUUAACAUAAUAUAAUAUUCGCAUAAUAACAAAACUUCAAAAAGCUAUAAUUUCGAAACUAAGUCCGCUAAGUUCUGACCCCACCAUCGUUCUUAAAUCAGCAAUAUGUUUAAAACAAAAAAUUUAAAAAUUAGAUUUAUUUCACAUAAUUUUUCACUCAAAUGAUUUUCGUAAAAAUUUGAUAUUAUAAUUCCUUUAUAAAAAAAAAAAAAAUACCACACUAAGCUCAAUUUUUCUUUUUUGGCCAUAAAGUACGACUUUUAACGAAUAUCCCGUUGAAUUGUCAAACAUUUCUGUACAAUCUAACAUUUUCAUCUCAGAUUAUCUACCGAAUGAAAAUUACCUUCAAAACUCAAAAAAUCAAAAUAUCUAUAAAUAGCUCAUGAAUGGCUAAAUUUUACCUCGUCUAGAAAUGGCAAAUAUAAGCUUUGAGUUAAAAUUUUAAGUCUCUAAAAAUAUUUUAAAAUAAAUUUCAAGAAAAUAACAAAAUUGAAAAUAAUAAAAACAUUAUUUUUGUAAAUAUAUUCUCGUUUUU